rnacentral:rRNA from 1 species
GAUGAACGCUGGCGGCGUGCUUAACACAUGCAAGUCGAACGGAAAGGCUCCUUCGUGCAGGGGUACUCGAGUGACGAACGGGUAAGUAACAAGUAGGCGACCUGCCCUGCACUUCGGGCUACGCCUAGGUAGCUGGGACAUCUACCGGAAAGGACCACAUCUUGGUUGGUGUGGUGGAAAGUUUUUCGGUUUGGGAUGAGCUCGCGGCCUAUCAGCUUGUUGGUGGGGGAAUGGCCUACCAAGGCGUCGCCGGGUAGCCGGCCUGAGAGGGUGUACGGCCACAAUUGGAAUGGGAUACGGCCCAGGCUCCUAAGGGAGGCAGGAGGGGGGAAUAUUGGACAAUGGGCGCAAGGCUGAUGCAGGGACGCCGCGUGGCGGAUGACGGGCUUCGGGUUGGAAACUCCUUUCGCGAGGGACGAAGCGUUGUUGUGACGGUACCUGGAGAAGAAGCACCGGCUAACUACGUG